UACAGAGGUCCCAAGCGUUGUUCGGAAUUACUGGGCGUAAAGGGCGCGUAGGCGGCCGUUUGCGUCGGAUGUGAAAGCCCGGGGCUCAACCUCGGAACGGCAUUCGAUACUGCCUUGCUAGAGUACUGGAGAGGGAACUGGAAUUUACGGUGUAGCAGUGAAAUGCGUAGAGAUCGUAAGGAAGGCCAGUGGCGAAGGCGAGUUCCUGGACAGUGACUGACGCUGAGGCACGAAGGCCAGGGGAGCAAACGGG
rnacentral:rRNA from 1 species